GUCGAGGGGUAUAGUUCUUCGGAACUAGAGACCGGCGCACGGGUGCGUAACGCGUAUGCAAUCUACCUUUUACAGUGGGAUAGCCCAGAGAAAUUUGGAUUAAUACCACAUAGUAUAUAAUCUUCGCAUGAAGUUUAUAUUAAAGUCACAACGGUAAAAGAUGAGCAUGCGUCCCAUUAGUUAGUUGGUAAGGUAACGGCUUACCAAGACUACGAUGGGUAGGGGUCCUGAGAGGGAGAUCCCCCACACUGGUACUGAGACACGGACCAGACUCCUACGGGAGGCAGCAGUGAGGAAUAUUGGACAAUGGGCGCAAGCCUGAUCCAGCCAUGCCGCGUGCAGGAUGACGGUCCUAUGGAUUGUAAACUGCUUUUAUACGAGAAGAAACACUACUUCGUGAAGUAGCUUGACGGUAUCGUAAGAAUAAGGAUCGGCUAACUCCGUGCCAGCAGCCGCGGUAAUACGGAGGAUCCAAGCGUUAUCCGGAAUCAUUGGGUUUAAAGGGUCCGUAGGCGGUUUAGUAAGUCAGUGGUGAAAGCCCAUCGCUCAACGGUGGAACGGCCAUUGAUACUGCUAGACUUGAAUUAUUAGGAAGUAACUAGAAUAUGUAGUGUAGCGGUGAAAUGCUUAGAGAUUACAUGGAAUACCAAUUGCGAAGGCAGGUUACUACUAAUGGAUUGACGCUGAUGGACGAAAGCGUGGGUAGCGAACAGGAUUAGAUACCCUGGUAGUCCACGCCGUAAACGAUGGAUACUAGCUGUUGGGCGCAAGUUCAGUGGCUAAGCGAAAGUGAUAAGUAUCCCACCUGGGGAGUACGUUCGCAAGAAUGAAACUCAAAGGAAUUGACGGGGGCCCGCACAAGCGGUGGAGCAUGUGGUUUAAUUCGAUGAUACGCGAGGAACCUUACCAAGGCUUAAAUGUAGAUUGACCGGUUUGGAAACAGAUCUUUCGCAAGACAAUUUACAAGGUGCUGCAUGGUUGUCGUCAGCUCGUGCCGUGAGGUGUCAGGUUAAGUCCUAUAACGAGCGCAACCCCUGUUGUUAGUUGCCAGCGAGUCAUGUCGGGAACUCUAACAAGACUGCCAGUGCAAACUGNNGAGGAAGGUGGGGAUGACGUCAAAUC
rnacentral:rRNA from 1 species